GGGCACAUAGUGUAGUUGGUUAUCGCGCCCGCUUCGCAUUGUGGGUCUGAACUGCGGAUUACAUCAGCUUGCGGGAGGUCAGGAGUUCAACUCUCCUUGUGUCCA